GCCUGGGUAGUGCAGUGGUUAGCUCAACUGCUUAGUGAGCAGGAGACCUGGGUUCGAGUCCCAGCCCGGGUG